AUGGUUACAUGGCAGGGGAAAUACCAUGACCAAGAUAAUGUUUUUCCCAGGAUGAGGCUUAUUCAUUGCACUCUGGAUGCUCUCUCUCUGACCCUGUGAUUCUCCAAAUAUAGGAAAAUCAAUUGCAUAGUGUGUGGUAAUAAUAAAAUAGUUUGGACAUUUUUUUAA
ensembl:snRNA U1 U1 spliceosomal RNA